rnacentral:rRNA from 1 species
GUGAGGAAUAUUGGUCAAUGGGCGGGAGCCUGAACCAGCCAAGUCGCGUGAGGGAUGACGGCCCUACGGGUUGUAAACCUCUUUUGCCGGGGAGCAAGGGGGCGCACGUGUGCGCCUUCGGAGAGUACCCGGAGAAAAAGCAUCGGCUAACUCCGUGCCAGCAGCCGCGGUAAUACGGAGGAUGCGAGCGUUAUCCGGAUUUAUUGGGUUUAAAGGGUGCGUAGGCGGAGCGCCAAGUCGGCGGUAAAAAUUCGGGGCUCAACCCCGUCGUGCCGUUGAAACUGGCGCCCUUGAGUGGGCGAGAAGUAUGCGGAAUGCGUGGUGUAGCGGUGAAAUGCAUAGAUAUCACGCAGAACUCCGAUUGCGAAGGCAGCAUACCGGCGCCCUACUGACGCUGAAGCACGAAAGCGUGGGUAUCGAACAGG